CCCGCCUGUCUUGCCGUACCCUAUGCAGCAGUUGCAGAGAGACUUCAGGUCCCUCCCUCCAUCAGCCAGUACAGCUUCAUUCUACUGAACUGGAAACUCAAGGACCCCCAAGGCAAAGUGGAACUAGACAAUAUGGAAUCCAUUGUCACCUUACGCGGUGGUAAAGACGAAUCAUGGUUCUACUGUACAACAGUGCAAGUGGAGCUAGACUUUGCUCCAGCCCUCUCCAGUAUUAUUGAAGCCCAAAAGGCCGUUUUAGAUGGAUCCUCACAGCGAUUGGUGAAGCAUCUUAGGACUAUAGAGGGAGCUGUUCAUAAGAUGAGAAAUACCUUGAACAGAAUGUCCGGUGAGUUGAUUUCAUUUUGAGAUUGACCCUAACACUGCUUGCUACAAAUCAUUGGGUCAUCGCGUCUGGUCAGGUGGUCGCAUUUUGUGAAAACCCUACAGCAAAUCUACAAAAGGUUAUGUGAUCUUUCUGCUUUCGUUUUACGAAAGGUCAUGUAACACGCCCACCCAACCGGGUGCAAUGAUUCAAUGAUUUGAAGUAGGUAUUGAAAAAGCCCCAUAGCACUGACUUUCACUGUAACCUUCACUUUGAUAUUUACAAUGUACUACAUUUUUUACUCUUCUAGAAAUUAGUAAAA